rnacentral:misc_RNA from 1 species
AACGGUCUAUACCUGCGGUACCUGCGGAAGGAUCAUUAAUGAGAAACUGCCCCUCGCGGGUAGAUCUCCCACCCUUUGUAAACUUACCUUUGUUGCUUUGGCAGGCCCGUCUCCGGACCGCCGGCUUCGGCUGGCCAGUGCCUGCCAGAGGAUUCUAAAACUCUGUCUGUCAGUGUUGUCUGAGUCUAUAUACAAUCGUUAAAACUUUUAGCAAUGGAUCUCUAGAUCGGAAGAGCACAC